rnacentral:rRNA from 1 species
UACGGAAGGCAGCAGUGGGGAAUAUUGCACAAUGGGCGCAAGCCUGAUGCAGCCAUGCCGCGUGUAUGAAGAAGGCCUUCGGGUUGUAAAGUACUUUCAGUCGUGAGGAAGGUGUUAAGGUUAAUAACCUUAGCAAUUGACGUUAGCGACAGAAGAAGCACCGGCUAACUCCGUGCCAGCAGCCGCGGUAAUACGGAGGGUGCGAGCGUUAAUCGGAAAUUACUGGGCGUAAAGGGCACGCAGGCGGUUAAUUAAGUUGGAUGUGAAAUCCCCGGGCUUAACCUGGGAAUGGCAUUCAAGCUGGUUAGCUAGAGUCUUGUAGAGGGGGUAGAAUUCCAUGUGUAGCGGUGAAAUGCGUAGAGAUGUGGAGGAAUACCGGGUGGCGAAGGCGGCCCCUGGGACAAAGACUGACGCUCAUGUGCGAAAGCGUGGGGAGCAAACAGGAUUAGAUACC